GGGCCUAUAGCUCAGUUGGUCAGAGCAGGGGACUCAUAAUCCCUUGGUCGGAGGUUCAAGUCCUCCUGGGCCCACCA
rnacentral:tRNA from 2 species